rnacentral:rRNA from 1 species
CAGGCCUAACACAUGCAAGUCGAGCGGGCCCUUCGGGGUCAGCGGCGGACGGGUGAGUAACGCGUGGGAACGUGCCUUCUGGUUCGGAAUAACCCUGGGAAACUAGGGCUAAUACCGGAUACGCCCUUAUGGGGAAAGGUUUACUGCCGGAAGAUCGGCCCGCGUCUGAUUAGCUAGUUGGUGGGGUAACGGCCUACCAAGGCGACGAUCAGUAGCUGGUCUGAGAGGAUGAUCAGCCACACUGGGACUGAGACACGGCCCAGACUCCUACGGGAGGCAGCAGUGGGGAAUAUUGGACAAUGGGCGCAAGCCUGAUCCAGCCAUGCCGCGUGAGUGAUGAAGGCCUUAGGGUUGUAAAGCUCUUUUAUCCGGGACGAUAAUGACGGUACCGGAGGAAUAAGCCCCGGCUAACUUCGUGCCAGCAGCCGCGGUAAU